GAUGAACGCUGGCGGCGUGCCUAAUACAUGCAAGUAGAACGCUGAAGGAGGAGCUUGCUCUUCUGGAUGAGUUGCGAACGGGUGAGUAACGCGUAGGUAACCUGCCUGGUAGCGGGGGAUAACUAUUGGAAACGAUAGCUAAUACCGCAUGACAACAGUUAUUGCAUGAUAACUGUUUAAAAGGGGCAACUGCUCCACUACCAGAUGGACCUGCGUUGUAUUAGCUAGUUGGUGAGGUAACGGCUCACCAAGGCGACGAUACAUAGCCGACCUGAGAGGGUGAUCGGCCAAACUGGGAAUGAGACAAGGCCCAGAAUCCUACGGGAGGCAGCAGUAGGGAAUCUUCGGCAAUGGACGGAAGUCUGACCGAGCAACGCCGCGUGAGUGAAGAAGGUUUUCGGAUCGUAAAGCUCUGUUGUAAGAGAAGAACGAGUGUGAGAGUGGAAAGUUCACACUGUGACGGUAUCUUACCAGAAAGGGACGGCUAACUACGUG
rnacentral:rRNA from 1 species